GCGGAAUUCUCCACGAGUUUUGAGCAGCGUCGGUUUUCCCACCACCUCCAAAUCAUGCAAGACACAGGGUGCAGGCAGAGCCCCCGGAGCCAUGGCCAGCCCUUCCGGCAGCUCCGAAGCCACUGGCAAGCCCCGAGGCAGGGAUGGCCGGCCCAGGAGGGAGGAGGACGACGUCCCUCCCGAGGAGAAGAGGCUGCGCCUGGGGCUGGAGGGGGGAAGCGCACAGCCCGAGGACUGCGAGGACGGGGAGGACGCGCCGCGGCCGGGCAGGGAGGAGACCGGCACCCAGACAGGUGGCGACGGCAGAGGAGUCUGUUCUUCCCCUGGAUUGUAAACUCCUUGAUGUCUGGGUCAUCUCAGCUCAUGAGCUGAGCUUUCAGUGGGUGCUUAGUGUAACAGGUGCUGAAUGGAGUCAGGCUCUAGGGAGGUCAGCGUGUGUUGGAAGGAAAAUACAUGUACGGCCAACUUCCUUGAGGGUUCGUUCUUUUGCAUCAGCGUGUCUCAAACUCCUGCCCUUAAAACACCUGCAAGAAAAUCAUCCAGGCGGCUUGCUCGCUCUGCUUGCAGACCCUUUAGAAUCAGAGUCAGAAUCCCUGGGGCUGGAGCCACAAAAUGAAAUGACAUUUCAACAAGUCUGUCAUUACAUAAGAGAGAAUAG
rnacentral:sRNA from 1 species